rnacentral:rRNA from 1 species
GAUGAACGCUGGCGGCGUGCCUAAUACAUGCAAGUCGAGCGAACGGACGAGAAGCUUGCUUUUCUGAUGUUAGCGGCGGACGGGUGAGUAACACGUGGAUAACCUACCUAUAAGACUGGGAUAACUUCGGGAAACCGGAGCUAAUACCGGAUAAUAUUUUGAACCGCAUGGUUCAAAAGUGAAAGACGGUCUUGCUGUCACUUAUAGAUGGAUCCGCGCUGCAUUAGCUAGUUGGUAAGGUAACGGCUUACCAAGGCAACGAUGCAUAGCCGACCUGAGAGGGUGAUCGGCCACACUGGAACUGAGACACGGUCCAGACUUCUACGGGAGGCAGCAGUAGGGAAUCUUCCGCAAUGGGCGAAAGCCUGACGGAGCAACGCCGCGUGAGUGAUGAAGGUCUUCGGAUCGUAAAACUCUGUUAUUAGGGAAGAACAUAUGUGUAAGUAACUGUGCACAUCUUGACGGUACCUAAUCAGAAAGCCACGGCUAACUACGUG